rnacentral:rRNA from 1 species
GAUUAACGCUAGCGGCAGGCAUAAUACAUGCAAGUUGAACGGGAUUAGGUUUAGCAAUAGACUUAUGAGAGUGGCGCACGGGUGCGUAACACGUAUGCAACCUGCCCCUGACAGGAGGAUAGCCUCUCGAAAGAGAGAUUAAUAUUCCAUAACAUAUAGAUUAAGCAUUUAGUUUAUAUCAAAGCUCCGGCGGUCAGGGAUGGGCAUGCGGCUGAUUAGGUAGUUGGUGAGGUAACGGCUCACCAAGCCGACGAUCAGUAGGGGGUCUGAGAGGAUGUCCCCCCAAACUGGUAAUGAGACACGGACCAGACUCCUACGGGAGGCAGCAGUAGGGAAUAUUGGUCAAUGGGGGCAACCCUGAACCAGCCAUGCCGCGUGCAGGAAGACUGCCCUAUGGGUUGUAAACUGCUUUUGUACGGGAAGAAAUCAAUCUACGUGUAGGUUGUUGUCGGUACCGUGAGAAUAAGGAUCGGCUAACUUCGUGCCAGCCGCCGCGGUAAGAC